UACGAAGGGUGCAAGCGUUACUCGGAAUUACUGGGCGUAAAGCGUGCGUAGGUGGUGAGUUAAGUCUGUCGUGAAAGCCCCGGGCUCAACCUGGGAAUGGCAUUUGGGACUGCAAGGCUUGAGUGCGGCAGAGGAGACUGGAAUUCCUGGUGUAGCAGUGAAAUGCGUAGAUAUCAGGAGGAACACCGAUGGCGAAGGCAGGUCUCUGGGCUGACACUGACGCUCAUGCACGAAAGCGUGGGGAGCAAACAGG
rnacentral:rRNA from 1 species